rnacentral:rRNA from 1 species
GACAGAGGGUGCAAACGUUGUUCGGAAUUACUGGGCAUAAAGGGCACGUAGGUGGUUCGCUAAGUUACGUGUGAAAUCCCCCGGCUCAACCGGGGAAUUGCGCGUGAUACUGGCGGACUCGAGGCGGGUAGGGGUGAGCGGAACUCCAGGUGGAGCGGUGAAAUGCGUAGAUAUCUGGAGGAACACCAGUGGCGAAAGCGGACUUCUGGGUUGUUACUGACGCUGAGGUACGAAAGCGUGGGGAGCAAACGGG